rnacentral:rRNA from 1 species
ACAGCAGCCGCCACGGUAAUACGUAGGGGGCGAGCGUUGUCCGAAGUUACUGGGCGUAAAGCGCGCGUAGGCGGCUUCUUAAGUCUGAGGUGAAAGGUUCAACGCUUAACGUGAACAGUGCCUUGGAUACUGGGGAGCUUGAGUAUGGGAGAGGGCAGUGGAAUGGCUGGUGUAGCGGUGAAAUGCGUAGAUAUCAGUCGGAACACCCAUGGCGAAGGCAGCUGCCUGGCCUAAUACUGACGCUGAGGUGCGAAAGCGUGGGGAGCGAACGGGAUUAGAUACCCCUGUAGUCCCUGUCUCUUAUA